rnacentral:rRNA from 1 species
UUGGAGGGCAAGUCUGGUGCCAGCAGCCGCGGUAAUUCCAGCUCCAAUAGCGUAUAUUAAAGUUGUUGCAGUUAAAAAGCUCGUAGUUGAAUUUCGGGAUUAGUAGGUUGGUCGUGCCUCUGGUAUGUACUGGCUUUACUGGUUCCUCCUUCUUGAAGAACUGUAAUGUCAUUAAUUUGGUGUUGCAGGGAAACAGGACUGUUACUUUGAAAAAAUUUUAGAGUGUUUAAAGCAGGCUAACGCUUGAAUACAUUAGCAUGGAAUAAUGAAAUAGGACGUUUGAUCCUAUUUUGUUGGUUUCUAGGAUUGACGUAAUGAUUAAUAGGGAUAGUUGGGGGCAUUAGUAUUCAAUUGUCAGAGGUGAAAUUCUUGGAUUUAUUGAAGACUAACUACUGCGAAAGCAUUUGCCAAGGAUGUUUUCAUUAAUCAAGAACGAAAGUUAGGGGAUCGAAGACGAUCAGAUACCGUCGUAGUCUUAACCAUAAACUAUGCCGACUAGGGAUCGGAUGAUGUUAAUUUUUUAAUGACUCAUUCGGCGCCUUACGGGAAAC